rnacentral:rRNA from 1 species
CCUACGGGAGGCAGCAGUGAGGAAUAUUGGUCAAUGGGCGGAAGCCUGAACCAGCCAAGUAGCGUGCAGGAUGACGGCCCUACGGGUUGUAAACUGCUUUUAUACGGGAAUAACGCGCCUUACGUGUAGGGCUUUGCAUGUACCGUAUGAAUAAGGAACGGCUAAUUCCGUGCCAGCAGCCGCGGUAAUACGGAGGGUCCGGGCGUUAUCCGGAUUUAUUGGGUUGAAAGGGAGCGUAGGCCGCAUGUCAAGCGUGAUGUGAAAUUUCCGGGCUCAACCCGGGCAUUGCAGCGCAAACUGGCGUGCGUGAGUCCGCGGGAGGCAGGCGGAAUUCGUGGUGUAGCGGUGAAAUGCUUAGAUAUGACGAAGAACCCCGAUUGCGAAGGCAGCUUGCUGCAGUGGAACUGACGCUGAGGCUCGAAAGCGCGGGUAUCGAACAGGAUUAGAUACCCCUGUAGUC